AAUGAAGUCUAGAUCUUCUUCAAUCCCUUCUUCCAUCGAAUGCCUCAGGCAAGCUCUUUCCUCGACCGAUGAUCUUUUGCUCCCAAGAGUCAAAAGUCAGGAAAGCCAAGAGAUGAAUCAAUUCUUGCAGAGUGGCUUAACAGGCCUUCAAUCACAACACAUCAUGCUUCUCAAUAGCCUCCCAUUCCCAUUUAUAGGAGUUCCCGAAUAGACACAUAUCGAUCAAUUGCACCGUGGGUUAUGGAACCAGGAGGGAAUUAUGUAAAUUAAAAAGUGAUCGCUUAAGGAGUGAGCUACAUGACCAUGGAAUGGUGUAGAAAUACGCGAGGAAACUUCCACAGGAGCAGGAUCUUGUCCAGUUAUGGGGGCAACAUCAUGGGAACAACAUCAAAUUAAGGAAAGUGUCUACACGCCUCAAAUGUAUACGCUAGGUAUUGUUCUUCGUCGAUUCACCAGUCGAAGCAGAACUCUGAUGAGGGAGAUAUUCUUAGAUGCAACAUAAGACGUUCCCACCCUCCCAAAUUGAUGAUUAUGUGCCAAGGUUCAUAGGCUCAGAAGAAACAGGAAAAUACCCAAUAUUUAGUAUAUAAUGAUUCAUACGGAUAAAUUGUUGAUGUUGGGCAAUCGGGAGUGCAUGUAUGUUUCUAUUAGCAUAGUGUAAAGGCUGUGACGACCGGUGUACUCUCAAGAAAUAAAAAAAUUAUUUGUUUAUGUGUUGAA